GGCCGCAGUAUUUUAACUGUGCAAAGGUAGCAUAAUCAUUAGUCUUUUAAUUGAAGGCUGGUAUGAAUGGUUGGACGAAAUAUUAACUGUUUCAUAAAAAUUUAUUUUUUUUAUUUUUUAGUAAAAAAGCUAAAAUUUAUUUAAAAGACGAGAAGACCCUAUAAAUCUUUAUAUUUAAAUUAUUAAAAUUUUAUAGAUUUUUUUUAUUAUAAUAAUUAAUAAUAUUUUAUUGGGGUGAUAUUAAAAUUUAAUGAACUUUUAAUAAAAAUUAUCAUUGAUUUAUGAAUAAUUGAUCCAUUAAUAAUGAUUAAAAAUUUAAGUUACUUUAGGGAUAACAGCGUAAUUUUUUUGGAGAGUUCUUAUCGAUAAAAAAGAUUGCGACCUCGAUGUUGGAUU
rnacentral:rRNA from 1 species